rnacentral:lncRNA from 1 species
AACUAUAUAGAGAGUAUUUAAAUAACAUAAAUAUCUUUCUUGGAGAUAUACAUGUAUAUCUAAGUAAAUAUAUGUAUUUAUGUGUAUGUGUAUAUAAGACAAAAGAAGUCUCAAACAUGAAAACAAAUUCGUAACUCAGUACAUUCAGAAGGAAAUACAGAAAAGCAUCCAGCUCUGUUUUCUAUAGAGCAUCAACAUCGUUUUUCUAGAACGGAAACAUAUUAAGAAGUUCAUGAGCAAAGAGGAAAUUAAAAUAGAAAUUAAAAAUAUUUAGAACUAAAAGAAAACAGAGUUUCUAAUAUCUAUGAGAAGGAAGUAAAAAUUAUUCUUAGGGAAAAUUUUAUGCUCUGAAAGGUAUUUACAAAGGAAAAGUAGUAAAUGAAUGAGGCUCUUGUAAAAGGAGAAAAAACAAGCAAGCAAUCAAAUAACAGAAUGAACAUAAACACAAAGCGAUUAAAAAGAAGGAAGUAGUAAAGAUCAGCCAGUGGCUACAGCUCCGAUUGGACCCCUAGCCUGGGAACCUCCAUAUGCCGCGGGAGCGGCCCAAGAAAUAGCAACAACAACAACAACAACAAAAAAGACAAAAAAGACAAAUAAAUAAAUAAAUAAAUAAUAUUUAUACUUUUUAAAAACAGCUUUGAUACGCUACAAUACCUAUUGGUGAUAAAAACUUUAUCGUUUUAUUUUAGAGUAAAAGACAGUAUUCUUAAUCUACAAAGAGUAUUUAUUAGAAACUUAGAGCAAAUAUCACAAAAGAGUGAACCAUUAGCAGUCCAGUUAAAGCUGAGGAGGAAGAUGAGCGUGCCUGCUCUUACUGGUUUAGCACGAUGCGAAAGGGCCUGGACCCGUGCUAAAAGGCAAUGACAACUAAAUGAGAUGUAAACACUCAGAAGACAAGAGCGGCAUUUCAUGCCGUAGCCGAUGCUGUGGUUCGCUCCCCAUGUGUCCCCCUUUCAUGACUGGAAUCCUCGCCCUCCCAGGUGCUAUGACUGUUGAUGGAUGAAGGCCCACAGCUAAGCUGAGUUCCCCCUCUUGGUGGCUGGCUCUUGGCUGAACAGAGCUGCCUCCCUCAAGGUCACACCCUGUUCCUGAGUGUGGCUCAUAUGCAAAGACUGAACAGACAGCGGAUGUCAAGUUCUGGUCCUGGGGCCUCGUCCCUGCAACUCUGGGCCGCCCCAGCUCGGGAGCUCUGUGGGGGAAACCCCUGUGGCCUUCGUCAUGACAGCAUCAUAACGCAGCUUCUCCCUCUCCCGGUUCUGCCACGUCCCCUUCUCCAGCAGGGGUACAUCUGGAAAGGUCCCUCUACACUUUCUUUAUGAAAAUCUCCAUCUCAGAGUCCAGACCUGAAAGCCAUCCUGAAGAGUUCAUAAUGUAAUAUGACCCUUCCCAAAUAAUUAAGCUGUAUUAAUUAUUCGCUUUUAAGCAAAAUAUGAAGAUUAAUAACAUGACCUAUCAAAUUGACCAGUGGACCAAUACAAAACCAAUUAACAAAAAUGCACAGGAUCUUUUUGAAAAAAAAAAUGAGUAAAAUAUUUUCUGAAAGAUGCUGAAGACCUGGAAAAAUGGAAAGAAAUAUUGUAGAAAGCCUCUGUUCUGUCAUGGUUGGGAUGGAUAAUUGGUCAGUUGAUGGUAAAAGAUCCCUUAAGUCACGGAAUAGUUAUGGAGUUCCCACUGUAGCUCAGUGGAGACAAAUCUGACUAGCAUCCGUGAGGAGGCGGGUUCCAUCCCUGGCCUUGCUUAGUCGGUUAAGGAUCCAGUGUUGCCAUGAGCUGUGGUGUAGGUCGCAGACACAGCUCGGAUCUGGCAUUGCUGCGGCUGUGGUGUAGGCUGGUGGCUACAGCUCUGAUUUUGAUCCCUACCCUGGGAACUUCCAUAGUAGGCAGGUGCAGCCCUAAA